rnacentral:rRNA from 1 species
GACGAACGCUGGCGGCGUGCUUAACACAUGCAAGUCGAACGGAAAGGCCCUGCUUUUGUGGGGUGCUCGAGUGGCGAACGGGUGAGUAACACGUGAGUAACCUGCCCUUGACUUUGGGAUAACUUCAGGAAACUGGGGCUAAUACCGGAUAGGAGCUCCUGCUGCAUGGUGGGGGUUGGAAAGUUUCGGCGGUUGGGGAUGGACUCGCGGCUUAUCAGCUUGUUGGUGGGGUAGUGGCUUACCAAGGCUUUGACGGGUAGCCGGCCUGAGAGGGUGACCGGCCACAUUGGGACUGAGAUACGGCCCAGACUCCUACGGGAGGCAGCAGUGGGGAAUAUUGCACAAUGGGCGGAAGCCUGAUGCAGCAACGCCGCGUGCGGGACGACGGCCUUCGGGUUGUAAACCGCUUUCGCCUGUGACGAAGCGUGAGUGACGGUAAUGGGUAAAGAAGCACCGGCUAGCUACGUG